UGCCAAACUAAGUUCAUUGGGAUUCUGUCUCGGGACAUCGGGACAAGGUUGAUUUAGGGGUAUUAUACUUACCACGAGUGCAUUAUAUAUUUUUAAUAGCCCAAAAGUUAUACCCAAAAUUUAUACCAGGAGAUUUUCUAGUUGAACCCUAAAGUUACCCAGUGGGUCCAUUCUCUUUUCUCACCAUUUUAUUUCCUUUUUGUGAUUUACCCAAAACUAUUAUUUUAUUUCGUAAACAACUCUUAUCAAAAGUCAUAUCUAUUAUUUUUACCCAAUAGGAAACCCUAGUUGAGACACCCAAGUAAUUCUACACAAUCCCUAAAAUUUUCAGAAUAAACAGAAUCAGGUUCAGGGCCCCUAAAACUCAAGGGGGAUAAACCCUAAUCAAUAUUUAUCUUCUAAAAUUUGUUGUCAAAAUUGAAUUCAAGCAAACAGUCGAAUCAGCUAGCCUACUCCCACACGCGACAAACCUAUGGUCAUUACGUGUCCCUUACGGACCGUAAGGGAUAAGUCUUACGGUCCGUAAGCCUGUCAAAUUUCAUGUAUAAAUAGCAGGCAUCGACACUUGCAGUCUGCUGUUCAUUCGACGAUUAAAUUCCGAUUAUACACCGAGUUAUCGUCCAAAUACUCUAAACAAACACACGCGAAUCACUAAUUAGUAUAGCAGGGUGCUGCUACGAUACAGGGUAUUAACUCGAUCGCUAUUACGAUUCAUUUUCCGACCGAUCAAUAUAUCCAAUGGAUGUUUAAGUGCCACCCACAUUAGGGUUAUACUUUGUCGUUCGUCGUUAAAUCGAUGGAUGUUUAAGUAUCGCACUUUGUCGUUCGUUGUGAGAAUUUGAUCUCGUGAGUUAUCGUAAUUGUUGUAUUAAGUUACCUACCUAGUUCGUGUGCACUAGGUUACAAGGCUAAAUCAAUAGGCUAAGUUCUGCCUGUAUAAAUCUGCAAUAUAUCAAGGCUUAUCUGUAGACUAAACUUUGGCCGUAUGAAUCUGCAUGAUUAUAAUGUAAUUACAGUAGAUUGGAAUAAGGAUUGGAUCCGGCACCAAAAGACUUCAAGAAGUGGCUUAUUUUAUUAAUUAAAUCAAAAUUAAGAAAUAUUGUUUUUAUUAAAAGCUACCUUUGUAACAAUGGAAUUUAUUCCAUCUAUUUAAAUAAAAUCCGGUGU
rnacentral:lncRNA from 1 species